GCGGGAUUAACUCAGUGGUAGAGUGUCAGCUUCCCAAGCUGAAGGUCGACGGUUCGAAUCCGUUAUCCCGCUCCA
rnacentral:tRNA from 1 species